rnacentral:rRNA from 1 species
GAUGAACGCUGCGGCGUGCCUAAUACAUGCAAGUCGAGCGAACAGACGAGGAGCUUGCUCCUCUGACGUUAGCGGCGGACGGGUGAGUAACACGUGGAUAACCUACCUAUAAGACUGGGAUAACUUCGGGAAACCGGAGCUAAUACCGGAUAAUAUAUUGAACCGCAUGGUUCAAUAGUGAAGGACGGUUUUGCUGUCACUUAUAGAUGGAUCCGCGCCGCAUUAGCUAGUUGGUAAGGUAACGGCUUACCAAGGCAACGAUGCGUAGCCGACCUGAGAGGGUGAUCGGCCACACUGGAACUGAGACACGGUCCAGACUCCUACGGGAGGCAGCAGUAGGGAAUCUUCCGCAAUGGGCGAAAGCUUGACGGAGCAACGCCGCGUGAGUGAUGAAGGUCUUCGGAUCGUAAAACUCUGUUAUUAGGGAAGAACAAAUGUGUAAGUAACUAUGCACGUCUUGACGGUACCUAAUCAGAAAGCCACGGCUAACUACGUG